GCCUGCCCAGUGACAUAAAGUUCAACGGCCGCGGUAACCUAACCGUGCAAAGGUAGCAUAAUCACUUGUUCUCUAAAUAGGGACUUGUAUCAACGGCACCACGAGGGCUAUACUGUCUCCUUUCUCCAAUCAGUGAAACUGAUCUCCCCGUGAAGAAGCGGGGAUUUUUCUAUAAGACGAGAAGACCCCAUGGAGCUUUAAGCAACACAUUUACUUUUUAUUUUUAUAUCAACUUAACAAAAUACCUAAAUAUUAGCUUUAGGUUGGGGGGACCGCGGAGUAUAAUCUAGCCUCCACGACAAAUGGGCCACGCCCUUAUCCACGAGCCACAACUCUAAGAAUCAAUAAACUGAUGUUUAAUGUCCGAUAAUUCGAUCAACGAACCAAGUUACCCUGGGGAUAACAGCGCAAUCUACUUCAAGAGCCCCUAUCGACAAGUAGGUUUACGACCUCGAUGUUGGAUCCAGGGUAUCCUAGUGGUGCAGCCGCUACUAAAGUC
rnacentral:rRNA from 1 species